CACGAACCGUCCAAACGUUAUUCGGAAUCAUUGGGCUUAAAGGGUGCGUAGGCGGACCAUUAAGUCGGGUGUGAAAUCCUUCGGCUCAACCGAAGAAUUGCGCCCGAUACUGGUGGUCUUGAGGGAGACAGGGGUGAACGGAACUGAUGGUGGAGCGGUGAAAUGCGUUGAUAUCAUCAGGAACACCGGUGGCGAAAGCG
rnacentral:rRNA from 1 species